rnacentral:rRNA from 1 species
UGAAUACGAGAUGCUACGGCGUCGAAGCAGUCUAUGUCAUACUUCCAAGAAAAGCUUGCACUGUCAUAAACAAAUAAUGCCUGUACCAUAACCGACACAGGUGGGUAGGUAGAGUAUACUAAGGGGCGCGAGAUAACUCUCUCUAAGGAACUCGGCAAAAUGACUCCGUAACUUCGGGAGAAGGAGUGCCUUAUUUAUAAGGUUGCAAUAACAAGAUCCAAGCAACUGUUUACCAAAAACACAGGUCUCCGCUAAGUCGUAAGACGAUGUAUGGGGGCUGACGCAUGCCCAGUGCUAGAAGGUUAAAGAAGUUGGUUAGCAUCCGCGAAGCUGAUAACUGAAGCCCUGGUGAACGGCGGCCGUAACGAUAACGGUCCUAAGGUAGCGAAAUUCCUUGUCGGGUAAGUUCCGACCCGCACGAAAGGCGUAAUGAUUUGGAUACUGUCUCGGAGGGGGGCUCGGUGAAAUAGACUUGUCUGUGAAGAUGCGGACUACCUGCACCAGGACAGAAAGACCCUAUGAAGCUUUACUGUAACCUGAAAUUGAAAUUGGACUUUACUUGCGCAGUAUAGGUGGGAGGCGUUGAGAAUAUUCUUGCGGGAUUAUUGGAGCCAUCAGUGAGAUACCACUCUUGUAAUGUUAGAUUUCUAACUUUGUAUCAUUAUCUGGUCAAAGAACAGUUUCAGGCGGGCAGUUUGACUUGGGCGGUCGCCUCCUAAACGGUAACGGAGGCGCACAAAGGUUUCCUCUGAACGGGUAGAAAUCGUAUCUAGAGUGUAAAGGCAUAAGGAAGCUUGACUGUGAGACCUACAAGUCGAGCAGGGACGAAAGUCGGUCUUAGUGAUCUGACGGUGCUGAGUGGAAAGGCCGUCACUCAACGGAUAAAAGUUACUCUAAGGAUAACAGGCUGAUCUCCCCCAAGAGUUCACAUCGACGGGGAGGUUUGGCACCUCGAUGUCGGCUCAUCGCAUCCUGGGGCGGUAGUACGUCCCAAGGGUUGGGCUGUUCGCCCAUGAAAGCGGUACGCGAGCUGGGUUCAGAACGUCGUGAGACAGUUCGGUCCAUAUCCGGUGUAGGCGUUAGAAUAUUGAGAGGAGCCUUCUUUAGUACGAGAGGACCGAGAAGGACAUACCUCUGGUGUACCAGUUAUCGUGCCAACGGUAAACGCUGGGUAGCUAUGUGUGGAGUGGAUAACCGCUGAAAGCAUCUAAGUGGGAAGCCCACCUCAAGAUAAGUAUUCUCAC